rnacentral:rRNA from 1 species
UACAGAGGGUGCAAGCGUUGUUCGGAAUUACUGGGCGUAAAGCGCACGUAGGCGGACUGUUAAGUCGGGGGUGAAAUCCUGGGGCUCAACCUCAGAAUUGCCUCCGAUACUGGCAGUCUCGAGUGCGGGAGAGGUGAGUGGAAUUCCCAGUGUAGAGGUGAAAUGCGUAGAUAUUGGGAGGAACACCAGUGGCGAAGGCGGCUCACUGGACCGACACUGACGCUGAGGCGCGAAAGCGUGGGGAGCAAACAGGG